GUAUAAAAUAAAAUAAUAGAUUUCCCAUUAAAACUCACCCUUACUCAAAAAUUAGCUACAACGAUUUUUGUUACCUGUCAUCGUGAGAGAUUCAAUCAAUUUUCAAUUUCCAAACUCUAAAGUACUGCAUUCUAUUGUUUUUUUGGUUCUACUACGAGGAGUUCCCACCGCCUUCGGCGAGGUAAUCUCCCGUGGGAGUUUGCAUGGGUACCUCGAUGGGCAGCAUCCCUCCCAGUUGAGAUUUUUUCCAUUCCCAAGGCUCGAACCCGAGACCUUGGUUAAGGAGCAAGAGGCCCUUAACACCUGCAUUCUAUUGUUUUGAUUGCAUUAUAUUGUAUUACAUGUUUAUAAAUUUAUAGAAUGCAUUGGUUUUAUUAUGUUAUUUGUUUGAUUGAAGCCAUUGUAGGUGUUAUUUCAAUGUAAAUUAUAAACGUCAUUUUAACAUGGGAGAAUUGAUAUGCAACCAUUUAAAUGUUGUAAUCGGGUUUCAUAUUAUGAACACUAGGUCAUGAACUUUGUUCUUUUGUAGAUUGUCUUCUGGUCAUUUGGUCAUGGGCAAAAGAAUUUCAAUCCAGAUUUGUUAGGGAACUAUGCUGGAUUGAUACAAUUGUGUGUCUUAAUUAGUAUCAAAGUACUUUAUUUUGUAACUAACCGUUAACGUAGGAAUAUUAACUUUGUGGGUGAUUCAAUCAAGGAAAUUACUAAGAUUAUUCCCCUUUGUUAUUGACAGAGAGAAUCACUAGAAAUAAAUAACCCUUAAAAGGUUUGGUUUAAUUUAGUAGAAUGUUGCAUUACUCCGGUAAGUGACAUGUGAUCUCAUUGGCAGUUAAAUGGCUAUCGGUGAAGGAAAUUUUAGAGGUAGUAUCGAUCUUAAUGAAGAUGCUAAUAAUGAAACUGACGAUGACACUAAUACUGAUGUUAAUGCGAAUGAGGACAUUGGUCACUUAAAUGAGCAUGAGCCAACUGUAGGCAUGUGUUUCGUUUCAUGAGAAGAUUUUUGUAAAUUCUAAUAUGAUUAUGCCUUUGGAAAGGGUUUCUUGUAUUUAUAAGAACUAGUAUGUUGAUGGAUGAAUUUAAGGGUAAAGGAAUUAGUCGAGGUGGGGUGGGAGAAAUGGAGGCAAAACCCUAUAUAUACUCCAGUAUUACCCUUAAUUAAAUGUAAGAGGGGUGGUAAACAUCAAACGAGUGGGUCUCUUGUCUCUGGCUGUGAAGCCUAUGUAUAUGCACGGUUGAAGGAUGAUAAAAUAUAUGGAGAUAGUCAAGUGUUCCUUGGAGCACAACCAUGCCCUUGCCCCGAAGGGUAGGUUUAUGGUUAAUUAUAGGAAAAUUGACAAUGAUGCAUGUCAGGAAAUGCUUAAUCUUGAUGAAGCUGGGAUAUCAAUUAUUAAUAAUUUCAGUGCGCAAUUAGUUCGACAGGGAGGGAAUGCAGAUUUAUCGUACGACUACAUAGACUUGAGAAAUACAGUUAACUUGGAGCGCCGUAAAUCUAGGCAAUCAGCUGCUCUUGAGGCUUAUUUUAAGAAGCAACAUGAGUUGAAUAAUGACUUCUUCAGCGCGGUACAAAGGGAUGAAGAUAACGUAUUGAUGAAUUCCUUUUGGUCUGAUGCAAGACAUAGGGGAGCCUGUAAAGAAUUUGGUGAUAUUGUCCAAUUUGAUACAACUUUUUCAACCAACAGGUUUAAAAUUCCCUUUGCUCCUUUCGUUGGUGUAAACCAUCAUGGGACUCUAUUGUGUUUGUUGCUGCAUUGACAUCGCAUGAGGAUGCUGAUGUAUUUGAAUGGGUGUUCAAGCAGUGGUUAGUGUGUAUGGGCAAGCUCCUAGAAGGCAUAUUGAUUGACCUGUGUAAAGCGAUUCGGAAGGCAGUUCAGGAUGUUUUUCCAGGUGUCCCUCAUAGGCUUUGCUUAUGGCACAUGAUGCAGAAUGCGGAAAAGAAUUUAGCUAGGAAUGUAUUCAAGUUGGGAAAAAAUAGAAGCAUGUAUUGCAGUAGCCAUUCACGACUUAAUCGACCCAGAUGAGUUGAUGAGGCUUGGAAUCUAAUUAUUAGUGAAUACGGGUUGCAAGGGAACACUUGGAUCAAUGAAGCAUUCUCUUUAAAGGAGCGUUGGGAACCAGCUUAUUGUCGUAGAAAAUUUUGGGCUAGUAUGUCUUCGACAUAACGUAGUGGAGGAACUAAUCGAUUUUUCAAGACCAAUGUUCACCGUCGAACAGUACUACAAAAUUUUAUUAAUAAGUACGAGUUCUCCAUGAAGAUUAUAGCUGAAAAGAGGCGAAGUUAGACUAUAAAUCAGUCCACGAAUGUCUUCAUGUUAACAAGAAAGUACUUUCCGAGUAUGUAUUUCAUAAGGCUUACACAACUAAGAAGUUUACGUGGGUGAAGGAAGAGGUUAACGGCAUGAUACACACUAAUGUCCACAGGAACGGAAACCUAUGAACGGGUAAUAAUUACUCAGCUGAAGAAAAGUUGGUAUCCCCCAUAUGGAGGAAAAGAUGGAAGAAGUAUGUGGUGAUGGUAGACAUAACGAAAGGAGAACUAAGUUGCGAAUGCAAACUUUUUGACUUUGCUGGGAUUUUGUGCAGGCACAUAAUGUGAGUUAUUGAGGUGGAGGACAUAGAAUUUAUCCCUGAGAAAUACGUGCUGAGACGAUGGAGGGAAGAUGUGGUGAGGGACUAUGAUGGCAUAAAGGUAUCAUACUAUGACUCGGAGGAGUCAACACGUGUUCAAAAUAAAACAGAGAUAUCAUUAAGGCACCAUUACCUAUCAUCCUUGGCAAUGCACAAUGAGGAGACAUUAAAAAUUUACAAGGAAGCAACUGAUAAUAUUCGAGUUUUAUUGGAGGGAACAAUAGGCAUCACCUAUCGUUGGCAAGUCGGGAUGUUGGUGGGAUGAUUCCACACGCAGGGUUUAUGGCCGUAGGAGGAUUAGGCCAAAGGAAUUCAACCAGCGAAACUUAAUGAGGAAUGCAGAACCUGUUAAAGCUGAUUGCAUCAAAGACCCCCCCCGGACAAAGGUAAUUGAAAGAAAGCGAGCAACGACAAGAAAACCAAAUAUAAGACGGUAGAAGAAAUGGUAGCUAAUGAGGAAAUAAUCACAAACACUUUCCAAUCAAUGCCUCAUUUUAAACAUACCAGCAACAACCCUGGCACGGCUACACCUCCUCGUGGCUCCAAUCCUUACCAUUUAAGAAGUCAAGGGUCAAAUCAAAGCAACAUCGUAGGAACAUCUGCACCUCAAGCAUUCAAUCUUUAUCCUUUAAGAAAUCAAAGCCCCAACGGUGGAAGUCAAGGGUUCAGUCCAAGCAACUACGGUGGAAGUCAAGGGUUUAAUCAAAGAAACUACGUUUGAAGUCAAGGACUCAAUCAAAGCAACUACGGUGGAAGUCAAUGGUUCAUUAAAAGUAACUACACUCCAUCUUCUUCCUCUCAAAGAAACAUGUCCCAACAAUGUAGGGAACAAGCCAAGUUAUGUGUGGAGGAGUACGUAUUUGGGGGGGAAAAUGGGUAAUAGAAAAAGGAUGCAGAUGGGUGAUAGGGGAUGGUAGAUCAGUUGAUAUAUGGAGUGACAAUGGCUUGGAAGUCCACCGUCUUUCCGCUCAAUCUCUCAUAGGCCAGUAGACAGCAAUGUUGUACUGGUCUCGGACCUCAUUCAUGUUGUGCGCAAUCAUUGCACCGACGACACGACCACCACACACAAGAUCUGCGCAUCCAUCGUGUCGUCGGUGCAGUGGCUGUGUGCGGCAGCUGUGCCGCCGACGCAAUAAUUAUGCUCAAUGGUUUUAUUUAUCUUUAUUUUUUUAAAGAUUUUGUUAUUAUUAUUAUUAUUAUCUCUAUUGCAUAAGUAAAGAGGUAAUGUUAUUUUAGUAAAUUCACUUUUGGUGUCCU